rnacentral:lncRNA from 1 species
AUGCUAUCCAAAAUAUCGUAUCCAAAUCAAAAAUCUUUUUGAGAAGGGUAAACUACAGAAAAUCUUUUGUAAAUAUCUGAUUUUUUACUUUUCCUUUCCGACAUUUAAAAAUCUAUAUUUUGCUAUCUCACUACAACAAAAACGGUCUAUAGCGACACUUUUAAAUGUAAAUACAUGUCAAAAAAGUGCUGCUAGCUAAAAUUGUCGACACUUUUAAAAAGUAUUGCUAUAUGUGGAGUCGCUAGGUAUAUAGUGACAGUUAAAGAAUGUUGCUAUAACUUAAAAGAGUACUGCUAAUUUACCAAUAUUUAUUUAAGCAUUUAGCAACCGUCGAAACUCUAUCUCGUUGGCUGCGGUGGCGGAGGAGGACGACAGGAAAGGCUUUUCGUCUAGAAUUUCAGUGGAUUGAGUGAAGAGAGAAAAAAAAUGGUAAUUGAUUUUUCUUCUUUUUUUUUUCUUUUCUGUUUGUAAUCGGGCCAAAUGGACUGGGUGUGGUGGGUUCAGUAGAGUAAUCUUUUAUUUUGGUUGGAUUGGGCUUUAUAUUUAGGCAUUAGUAAAUAUUUUUUUAAGUUUUAGCAUAAAUGAGACAUUUACUCAAAAGUGUCCCAAACAUGUGUCCCUAUAACCUAAUUCUGUUAGUGUCUUAAAAUUUUAAAAAUAUUUUCAGAGGGUACGACGUUAAUGGAGAAGGCAAAAUGACCCGAAUGUCAUUACUUCUUCUAUAAAAAAAUAAUUUUUUAAUAUAUUUUUGUUAUUUUGAAUCAUAUUUUUGGUAUAAAUUAUAAGAAAUGGACGGAAUAGUGAUAGAAUGCUGAUGGAGGGGGCUAAAUACAACAACUUAAAAUAUUGACGGGUAAAAUGUAAGUUUUAAAAGUUAGAGAGAGAAAAUGAAAUAAUAGAUAUUUAUAAUGGAGUUUUCUGUAAUUUAGCUUUUGAGAAAAGUAAAUAAAAUCCAAA